rnacentral:pre_miRNA from 1 species
UUUCUUUAAGAAGGCGGCUAUUUGGUAUAGUCACAUUCUUAAAACAAAAGCUUUGUUUAAGAAUGCGACUAUACCAAAUAGCCGCUCUAUUAUACAAUUUU